UAGUCCAUGCCGUAAACGAUGAUCACUCGAUAUUGGCAUUUAUGUCAGUGUCCAAGCGAAAGUAUUAAGUGAUCCACCUGGGGAGUACGAUCGCAAGGUUGAAACUCAAAGGAAUUGACGGGGGCCCGCACAAGCGGUGGAGCAUGUGGUUUAAUUCGAUGAUACGCGAGGAACCUUACCAAGGCUUAAAUGUAGAGUGACAGAUCUGGAAACAGAUCCUUCUUCGGACAAUCUACAAGGUGCUGCAUGGUUGUCGUCAGCUCGUGCCGUGAGGUGUCGGGUUAAGUCCCAUAACGAGCGCAACCCCUAUCUUUAGUUGCCAGCGGUUCGGCCGGGGACUCUAAAGAAACUGCCCGUGUAAACGGAGAGGAAGGUGGGGAUGACGUCAAAUCAUCACGGCCCUUACGUCCUGGGCUACACACGUGCUACAAUGGCAAGGACAGUGAGCAGCGAACCCGCGAGGGUGAGCGAAUCUAUAAACCUUGUCUCAGUUCGGAUCGGAGU
rnacentral:rRNA from 1 species